rnacentral:rRNA from 1 species
GGGUAGGUAGAGGUCGUAGUGCUAUAGUCAGUGUGAAUCUCUUGCUUACAAGGAAAUUGCCAUUGAAACUGUUAGACUUGAGAAUGGACGAGGUAGGCGGAAUUCGUAGUGUAGCGGUGAAAUGCAUAGAUAUUACGAAGAACUCCAAUAGUGUAGACUGCUUACCAGACCAUAUCUGACACUAAGGCACGAAAGUGUGGGUAUCAAACAGGAUUAGAUACCCUGGUAGUCCACACAGUAAACGAUGAAUACUAACUGUUUGCGAUAUACAGCAAGUGGUCGAGCGAAAGCGUUAAGUAUUCCACCUGGGAAGUAUGCCGGCAACGGUGAAACUCAAAGGAAUCGACGGGGGCCCGCACAAGCGGAGGAACAUGUGGUUUAAUUCGAUAAUACGCGAGGAACCUUACCCGGGCUCGAACGAUAUUUGAAUACAUCCGAAAAGAUGUAGCUAGCAAUAGCAAAUACCGAGGUGCUGCAUGGUUGUCGUCAGCUCGUGCCGUGAGGUGUCGACUUAAGUGUCAUAACGAGCGCAACCCUUACCGAUAGUUACCAUCAGAUAAUGCUGGGGACUCUAUUGGGACUGCCACCGUAAGGUGUGAGGAAGGAGAGGAUAACGUCAAAUCAGCACGGCCCUUAUGUCCGGGGCGACACACGUGUUACAAUGGGAGAAACAAAGGGUCGCUACCUGGCAACAGGAUGCUAAUCUCGAAAAUCUCUCUCAGUUCGGAUUGGAGUCUGCAACUCGACUCCAUGAAGCUGGAUUCGCUAGUAAUCGCACAUCAGCCAUGGUGCGGUGAAUACGUUCCCGGGCCUUGUACACACCGCCCGUCAAGCCAUGGAAGCUGGAAGUACCUGAAGUAUGUAACUAAAAGAGCGUCCUAAGU